UGAGGAAUUUUGCACAAUGGGGGCAACCCUGAUGCAGCGACGCCGCGUGCGGGAAGACGGAGCUUUGCUCUGUAAACCGCUGUCGUAUGGGAAGAGAAGAUUCUACGGGGAUCUGGGACAGUACCAUAAGAGGAAGCACCGGCUAACUACGUGCCAGCAGCCGCGGUAAUACGUAGGGUGCGAGCGUUGUCCGGAAUUACUGGGUAUAAAGGGUGCGUAGGCGGGCUACUGCGUCGGGGGUUAAAUAUCUCGGCUUAACCGAGGGGAUGCCUUCGAAACGAGUAGUCUUGAAUAUGAGAGAGGAUGAUAGAAUUCCUGGUGUAGCGGUGAAAUGCGUAGAUAUCAGGAGGAAUACCGGUGGCGAAGGCGGUCAUCUGGCUCAUAAUUGACGCUGAGGCACGAAAGCGUGGGGAUCAAACAGG
rnacentral:rRNA from 1 species